rnacentral:lncRNA from 1 species
UUGAUUAAUGUGGAGGAAUAUAACUAGUACUAAUAUUAUCAUCUUUCUUAUUUUACACCAUCCAGAACUGUUAUUUAUAUAUAUUUAUUUAUUUAUAUUUCAAAUGGGGAAACAAAUUCAGUUUCAGGACCUUAGGGUAAAGAGAAAGCAUGUAUACUCAACUAAUCUUGCCAAUCCUAUUGAUGGGAUUGGUCAUAAAAUAAUAGAUGGAGUUCAUAAUGCAAAGUCACUAAUUCUAUCGACUAUCAAGUAUCAACAAUAAGACUUACAAUUAAACCUAACGGUUAACAUGACUGCAAAAUCCAGAGUUCUGCCUGAGCUCAGAUCUUUCACUACUUUCUAACUUAAAAUAUAAUCAAAACAAAC